GUAGCUGGUCUGAGAGGAYGAUCAGCCACACUGGAACUGAGACACGGUCCAGACUCCUACGGGAGGCAGCAGUGGGGAAUAUUGGACAAUGGGGGCAASCCUGAUCCAGCAAUGCCGCGUGUGUGAAGAAGGCCUGCGGGUUGUAAAGCACUUUCAGCRGGGAGGAAGGCUSUUAGGYUAAUACCYUUGGAGAUKGACGUUACCUGCAGAAUAAGCACCGGCUAACUCCGUGCCAGCAGCCGCGGUAAUACGGAGGGUGCGAGCGUUAAUCGGAAUUACUGGGCGUAAAGCGCGCGUAGGCGGUUGACUAAGUUUGCUGUGAAAGCCCCGGGCUUAACCUGGGAACUGCAGUGAAUACUGGUGARCUAGAGUAUGG
rnacentral:rRNA from 1 species